UGAUAUUGUUAAAUGGCUCCGACAUCGA
rnacentral:sRNA from 1 species